UACGUAGGGUGCGAGCGUUGUCCGGAAUCAUUGGGCGUAAAGAGCUCGUAGGCGGCUCGGUAAGUCGGGUGUGAAACCCCCAGGCUCAACCUGGGGACGCCACCCGAUACUGCUGUGGCUAGAGUCCAGUAGGGGAGUGUGGAAUUCCCGGUGUAGCGGUGAAAUGCGCAGAUAUCGGGAGGAACACCAGCGGCGAAGGCGGGACACUCGGUGGCUGGAACUGACGCUGAGGAGCGAAAGCGUGGGUAGCAAACAGG
rnacentral:rRNA from 1 species